UGAUAGAAAAACCGUUUAAACUUACCGAAGAAUUAAAUGAAGGUCGUUGUCUGUGUUGCUGUUCCUCAUCGUAUCGUCAAGCUGUAUCUCCAUCAGAAUGUGCAAGCGGUACAAUCAUAUCAGCCGGAUGCUCUUCAACUCCUUCAACUGUUUCAGGAUUCUCGUGAGAAAGAAUUUUCAGGAAAAUCAAAAUUUUUCGCUUUUCAAUUUCCCAAUGUUCACUUUAAAAAAACAUCGAAAAAUCGAAAAACCGACACCCUUGGAGCAAUUUAGAUUCAAAUUUAUAUACAUUUCUACACCCACCAUCCAUCUGAUACAACGCCUCUUUCCGAUCAUCCUCAACAAAGAAAGUGGCAGCCAAAUAGAAUGCGCCAGCAACGACCAACAUAAAAGUUGGUACAUAUAGAGCCUUUUGCAGUGCAAAAAAGUGUCCAACUGCAGAUGCAUCGUCUCC
ensembl:antisense_RNA Y111B2A.29 ncRNA